GUCGCCCUUAAAGAGCCAGUGCCACCCCGGCCGUCGCCCGUGCCACCCGCUGCACCCACAGACCUCGCCUGGGCCGGUGCCCACAGAGCAACACCUCCCACCAAGAGGGAUUUUUCCGUGUCUGCGCUGUGGAACACUGAGCACCCCACGACUUCUCUCAUUGUACUCUGUGGUCUCAUGCCUCUGAGGACAGACCGCACGGCCACAGCAGAAAACCUAACGUGAACGUGGAGCAGCAGCGCCAGCAGGUGUGUGCAGCAGGACAUAAGGAUCAGCAAGCCAGGCAGUGCGAGCAGUGGGAUGCAGAGAGGCAGCAGCACGUUGGAGAAUACACUGUAUGGCUUCAAUCCUUUCAAAUUUCCUCACCCCGCAUGUGGUAUUAGUGAAUGAUGGUUCAUAAGCUCUUGAAAAAGAAUGUUAGGUGAA